rnacentral:lncRNA from 1 species
CCCCCAUUACUUUGACAAACAAAAACUAACCGACAUUAAAUAGUCCCCGGAAAAAACACUAUAACCAUGGCACACCAAACGACACGAUCAAACGACACUAACCUAUUAAAACCCUACAUCCUCGCUCAAAGAGGAGGCUAAAACCCUCGCUCGUAGAAGAGCGACAACAACCAAACUGAACCAAACUAAAAACUCACCAAAAAAACCAAAGUCCAAAUAUGCUUAAGCCCAACCUAACCCAUUGGACCUCUAGGUGCAGGCCCACCAAUAACCCGGCCCAAAAGCUGCAACGUGGAUGCAGCACCUCCCACCCCGCCGACAGCGUCGACUGCCGCCGAAAAGAGAUGCACCGUCGACCACACAGAGAAGCAGCACACCUCCUUGCCAGAAUCAUCACCGAAAACAAGGCGGGAGACCAACCCAGAUCCGGGUAGGCCUUUGCAGCCCCUUUUCCCGCCUUUAAACCGCAACACUGUUUUUGCUCCAUCACCGCUUGGCCACCAUGGCCUGACCAUCUCUCUUUGACGACGAUCAACAUCUCCACUGGAGCAAAAGUUUGCAGCGAUCCACCAGACACCUAUUUAGACCGAACUCGAGAGAGGCCUCCAUUUAUCGCUCCACCUCCACCAUCCUACACACCAUGACUCCAGACGGCCAACAACAAAUCUCGUCCGACAACGUCGUCAUUAGACGCGCAGUCCUGGUACCAUCUCUAACUCUUUUUCUCUCAAUAGGAAGGAUUGCUGUUCAAUUCCAUUGCAACAUAAGUAUCAGGAACAAUAUUAAAUGGUGCGCUAUUUUUGUCUUUGUAUGUUGGUUUCUAUAGAAAUGGAUGAAUAAAGUAUGUCACUGAAUGUAUGAGUGCUCAGGCUAAAGCUAACAUGUUUAGUUACACUAUGUUGUCUUGGACCAAGCCUCCUAUCAACUAGUAUGAGUUAAACAUCGAUAUGGUACUCGAAUUUCUCAUUCUGGGAAAAUUGGCGCCGGAGAAGUUAUUAGGGAUCAUAGGGGUAGUUGGGUGUGGUUUCCAAAUUAAUUUAGGUGUGGGUGAAAUCCUUGAUGCUAAAGUCUGGGGCUUAUUUUAUGGUCUUGAGAUUGAGUCAGAUUCUGUAAUUCUUGUGUAGCUGAUGCAAAAUCCUAGCUCUGGUAUGCACCCCACUUGGCUCUCUCCUUGAUGGUUGUUCUUCUAUGAUGUAUAGAUUGCAAAAUGUCAAGCGGUCUCACAUCUUCAGAGAAUGUAAUAUGGUUGUUAAUGUCUUGGCCAAGAAUAGUAUUAUGCAUGAUCUUAGUCUCAUCACUUUUGAAGACGCUUCUGCUCAUGGCUCUGUUAGAGCUAAUGUUACUAGGGCUAGAAAAACUGGAUUCUCCUCGUGUUUACUUUUUUUUUUUUUUUUUUUUUUUUUUU